rnacentral:misc_RNA from 1 species
GCGCAAUCUCCUUUUCUGCUGCACGUAAUCUCCAGUCAAGGAACACUAGACUCCAAUUUAAAGAAAAUGACACUAGCAGUUGAAACAUACAACAGAAGCUUUAAAAACAUCAGACUACAGAGAACUAAUCAAUAUGCAGAACUCGAAAGAAAGAAGUUAAACAAAAGGCUGCUUCAAAAAAAAAGUUGAAAAUCAAAGUAGUAACUGAGAAAGCACUAUCAUUAAAGUAGUUGUCAAAAAAAAAAAAUCUGCAGUUUAGACAUAAUAAAAGACACCACUUAAACCUCAAAAGAAUCCAUGACUUUCAAUAGCUAAUAAAAUCGAUUUUGCUUAUCCAACAAAGGAAUAGCUGAAACUCGUAAACAGGUGCCUGUAGCUUCAUACAACAGGACCAAAAACCAUAAAUAAAAGUGAAGCCAAAUUGAUAAUAUAAAGGAUAUCUUAAAGAAGUUGCCAUGUUGCAU